UAAUGAUAAGUCUUAUUAAUGGUCUUUUGGGUGAAUUUAUACUAGUUGAUAGUACAAAGUAUCUAUCGACCUUUUAUUAGGAGUAAUUAAUCGUAAUUGAGUAUAACUACAAGCAAAGGGACUUGGACAUUAUCUCACCAAUUUCAAUAAUGUCUUGUCAAAUCUAACUUUCUGCCUUUGGGAAGUUGACAAAACCCACAACAACAACUUUGUUUUUUUUUUUUAAUUCAACCCAGCCUUCAUCGAACAUUGAUGUGCAAAAAAGUUACAAGUUAAGUCUGGCAUCCCAGACUGUAUACAAAAUCAUUGAGAUGAGGCUAAUAUAGAAUUGGUAAUCCUACCCGAAAGAGCUUAACAGGUCAAGCCACUAAGAGGUAUCAUAUACGAUAUGGUUAUCCGAAACAUCUUUGAUUCUUAUGGAUGGGAUACCCCAUCUAUCCAAGUUGGUCAAAUCCUUUCACUUCGAGGGGCAAGACGGAGAAAGAGUUGAAGAUUUGAAUCUCAGCACUUCUGUGGCUCAAAGCGUCUAGCCUGUCAGCUGGCUUAGUAGCCUCUCUAAAGCAAUGAGUAAUAUGAAAGUCAACUCUUUUCAACUAGUUUCUGAUUAUCGUCAACAAUACUAGCUAACUUCCAUGAAGUUUUCCAAACUUUUUUCAUGCAAUUUGUUAAAAGCAGUGAGUCAGUUUCCGCCCAAACAGGUCUUGAGUCAUUAUUCAAGAACCACCAGGCCAAAGAGCAUAGCAGCAACUUCGGCAUAGUUUCUGGAACCUGGGUCUAAUGGUUCGCAUAGGCAAAAAUAAUUUUCCCUGUGUUAUCUCUUACCAUUCCGCCUCCCCCACACUUACCAUUAAUACAACUUUCAUCACUGUUGAGUUUUAACGAGUUUGUUUGAGGUCUAAUCCAUUUGACGAUGGUAGAUUUUGUUUGAUGAAUAUCUCGAUCACAGGCCCGACAGACAGAGUUCCAAGUGUCUCCAAUCCUCGCAUUUCCAAAUCUCUUCCUUAGAACCAGUAAAAUAUUGAAUAAUACAUUAGAGGAGGAUUGAUAUAAUGAAGGUCUUUCUCCUUCAUACUUGUUAGUACAUCUUGCCAGGAAUAAUUUUAAUUAUAAGUGAGCAGAUGGGGUUCUUGGUCUUGUGGUUCCACCAACUGAGAAGGGUGAACUUCAAAUUGGGGUUGCUCGUAUUUAUCCCCAGGGGACAUGCAAAAAAAGACCACAUCUUGUUAGCAAAAUCUCCAUGACAAAAUAAGUGGUUAACUGAUUCAAGCUCGGUGGCACCUCUACUACUGUUACAGCAAUAACACAUGGGAUCCAUAUGGAUUCCUAGCCUUGAAACAUUCGUAUCUGUGGAGAGUUUAUUAUGGAUGGCUCUCCACGUGAGGAAUUACAUCUUAAAGGGUAAGGAAAUGUUCAGCAUAUUCCAAUCCCAUUCUCCAUUGUGGCAAACUUCUUUAAGCUGCACAUCUAAGAUGUCAGUAUUUGUUGUCAAUUUGUGAUAAAGGGGGCCAAAGUUACUCCAGUUAUCGGACCAGAAGGAUACCUCCCCUUUAUCAACUAUCCAGAGAAUGUUAUGAUCAAUCACCUCCCCAGUAGCACAAAGAGCUUUCCAGGAGGGAGCUUGCCCUUUUUUCCAUUUUGCCUUCAGAUGAUGAUUCUCGACCAAGUAUUUUUCUUUCAUCAAUUCACUCCACAGGGAGUUAGAGGUUCUUAAAGACCACUACUAUUUAGCACUGAAGGAUUGACAAAUAUCCGAGAGCUUUCUAAAGUUGGUGCCCCCCUCAUUGUAGGGAUGGCAAAGGUUGUCCUAAGAAGCCCAAUGAUGUUUACCACCAUUGUCCAACCCCGACUAGAAAAAUCUAUUUAAGAAUUUCUCAAUAGUUUCGAGAGUGACCUUAGGAGGAGUAACCAUUGAUAAGAGGUGUAUAGGAAGAGCCAUGAAGACAUGUCUGAUGAGGAUGGACCUUCCCCCCUGGAGAAAGUAGUUUUGUGUGCCAACCCCUUAUUCUACUAGUAAAUUUGUUCACAAUGUCAGAAAAAUAAGAGAUUUUCUUCUUCCCAACAAUGAUAGGACACCCCAAAUAUUUGAUAGGAAAUUUCUGGUGGUUCAUCCCAGUGAUGUUAUGAAGCCAGACAAUAUCACGAGGUCUAGUGUUCUCAGCAACCACAAAGCCACUCUUGUGCCUAUUUAUAAGUUACCGGAGAUUCCUUCAUAGGAUUUGAGGGUCUCAAGAACCAUUUUUAGAGGUUUUUUCCCACUAUUAUAGAACAAAAUGGUGUUAUCUGCAAAUGAUAGGUGGUUGAUAUGGGGGCAAUUAUCUCUCAUGUAGAAACCAUUAUAUCCUGGUUUUCUCUGGAGAGCAUUGAGCAUUUGAGACAGGAGUUCAACACUAAGUAUAAAUAGAGACAGAUACAAGGGAUCCCCUUGUCUUAAACGCCUUCUCGAUUUAAAGAAACCAUUUCUGGUACCAUUCACAAUAACAGAGUACCAGUUGUUGGAAAUGUACUUGUGGAUAAGGUUCACCCAAACAUCAGAGAAACCCAUUUUCUUUAAGAUAGAGCAUAAAAAAGACCAAGAUACUCUGUCAUGUGCCUUAGUCAUGUCAAGUUUGAUGACAACAUUAUUCCCUCUAGUAGGCUUCCUGAUAUCAUUUAUAGUCUCUUGGGUAAGGAGGAUGCUUUCCGUGACAGCUCUACCCUUCACAAAAGCACUCUGGUUCUUGGAAAUUAUUCUAGGUAGAAUAGUGGCUAGUCUGGCAUUCAAUAGUUUAGAGAUAAUCUUACUAGACACGUUACAAAGGCUGAUGGGUCUGAGGUCACUGAAUUUCUGAGGAUGGUCAACUUUAGGAACCAUAAUCAAGCAUGUGUGAGUGAAGUAUUUAGGGAGGGUUGCACCUUCAAAGAAGGAGACAAUAGCAUUAUAAAGAUAAGUGGCGAUUAUAGAUCAUGCGGUUUGAUAGAAACAGACACUAAGUCCAUCUAGGCCCGGUGGACUGUCAACGUCCAUGGAGAAAACUAUGUCUUUAACCUCUUGGAGGGAAGGGAUGGCCAUAAUAGUGUUAUUCUCCUCUUCAGUGAUACAUCUCUGAAUACAAUUUAGAGGGUCCUGGGAAGAGUUAUGAUCUUCCUUGUUGAAAAGAUCUUGAAAGUAUCAAACAUCAGCUUCGGAAAUAGAAUCAUUUCCUUCAAUCCACUGACCCUGUUCAUUCAUGAUUUUCCUGAUGGUCUGUCUUUUUCUCCUAUCUUUGAUGAUGUUGUGAAAAUAGGCUGCAUUGGAUUUACCCUCUUCAAACCACUUUAUCCUAGUUUUUUAUCUCAAGAUCGAGUGGUGGAAUUUGAGGUAUCUAGUAUGCUCAGCUCUACAUCUAGAGAGGGCCUCUCUCUUAUCAGCAUUGUUGCUUUGAACAUAGUUAUCUUCAAGAACUCUCAUCUGCUCCUCUAGUCAUUUGUGCUCUUCAUGGAUAUCUCCAUAGGUUUGCCUAGACCAGAGACUAAGGUUCCCGCAAGUAGUUUUAAGUUUCUGAUGGAGCAUAAAGAGGGGGUUUCCACUAAUUUGGAUACCCCAACUUUCCUGGAUUACGCGAAGAAAAUCUGGAUGAUCAACCCAAAUGUUAAGAAAUUUGAAGUACUUUAUGAAGUUGGUAGUCUCAUUACUGAUUUUGAUAAGGAGGGGAGCAUGAACAUAACAAGUUCUAGAUAGGUGGAUGAUAGAUGUAGCAUUUAGGUUGUCAAACCAUUUAGAGUUUUAAACUAGUCUAUCCAAUCUUUUCCAGAUAGUGUUUGGGGGAUCUCUAUUGUCACACCAAGUAAAUAUAGACCCACUAUAUCCUCUAUCUUGAAGACCACAAUCGUUAAGGCAAGACAGAAAGUCAAGACUUUCCUCCAUUCUGUGAUUAGUGUUAAAAUCGCCAACCAGCCCCCAAGCAUCAUUCAUUGAAGCAGCUCUGUUCCUCAGGUCAUCCCAUAACUCCACUCUGAGAGCUUUACUACAUUUGGCAUAAACAAUAGAUAGAUACAAAGCAGGAUCAGUGUUAUGGACUAUUUUGAUAAGAACAUGUUCUUUAUCCUGUAUAACAUCCACAGUAACAUCAGCGUUCCAAAAGAGCCAAAUUUUGUUAGAAUAAUUAUGGAAAGAAGAAAGGCAUGCCCAAUCUCCUCUUGAAUCUGAUGAUUUGCUACUAUUAACCAUUGGUUCUUGUAGGUAAAAUAAAGGAAUUUGAUAUUGAAGUUUGAAGUCUUGAAGCCUUUCCAGGGAUCCCUGCGACCUUAUCCCUCUAAUAUUCCAAGAUAUGAUAUUCAUCAUUAGAUAUAUUACAGAGAGUAGAUUUGUUAGGAUUUGUUGUUGAUCAGGCAUUCUUGGGUUUGGGAGAACCAAAGUUUGUUCAAGAUUCAAGAACCAAACUCGUUUACUUAUGUAGAAAUCCUAGGGACACUUUUAUUUCUAUGUGGCAUUUUGCAAAUAAUUUGAGACUUCAUCAUAACGAUACCAAUUCCAUUGAAGAAAUGUUUGAUUUUUUUUUGUGAAGGGGUGAUACCUUUUGGAAUCAGUGUUGGAUUAUUGGAAACAAAGCAUAGAAAAGCCCAAUAAAGUACUUUUUUUGAUAUAUGAAGAAAUUAAAGCGCAACCCAAACUUCAGCUUAAACGCUUGGCUGAAUUCUUGGAAUGUCCAUUUUCUAUAGAGGAAGAAAAUCAUGGAGUGGUGGAUCAAAUAUUAAGAAUGUGUAGCUUUGAGAAUUUUAGUAAUUUGGAGGUGAAUAAUAAUGGGAAAUCGUCAUCCAUUGGAAUAGAAUAUAAAGUGUUCUUUCGUAAAGGGAAAGUUUGAAAUUGAAAGAAUUAUUUUACUAAAGAGAUGAGUGCGAAACUCAACCAUAUUAUUGAGCAAAAGUUGGAAGAUCUGGAUUGAGGUUUUUGCACAUUUGAUUAGGCUUUAAUAUGCUUAUGCCAAUUGAAUGCAAUUAUUUGUUUUGAAAGUCAAUGUUGAAGUAGUUCUAUUUGUGAUUAAUGUAAUGAGUUAACAUAUGAAAUUGUCACCAAAUAAAUUUUCUUUGGUAUGUA